rnacentral:lncRNA from 1 species
UAUAGCUUUAAGCAUUUAACCUGCCAUAGACAGUGUGUACUCGUCAGUUUCUUAGAAUUAACUUUUAUUUCAGAAAAGGAAAAGAAAUGAUUUUAAGAUCCUGAUUUCUGUAUGCUUUUUAGAUUGUACCAUUUUAAUAAAAGGAUAUUUAUUUAAUCCCUUUAAGAUGAAGAGAAAAAUUAAUAAGUGAAUUCAGAGCCAUUACAGUAAGUAUAAAAACAAAUUUUGCCUAUACGAAAUGCCCUUUUCACAAAUAUCUUUAAUUGAUUUAAGCUAUUUGCUUAGUCUUCAAGUCUUGAGAGAAAGAAGGAAUUAGUUAAUAUGGCAUUUCGUCACUGAUAAGUAAUCUAAAAAUUGUUAUUCCUCAAAACCUUUCAUGAAGAAAGGGCAGAAGCACUGAUGUAGGAGUGAGAAAGUCUCUGGAAUCUUAAGUCACUUUAAAAAAAAAAUGUUAGAAAAAAGACACUGUGGGGCUGGCGAUAUAAGUCAGUUGGUAGAGUGCUUGCCUCUCAAGAGGCACAAGGCCCUGGGUUCAAUCCCCAGCACCCCGCCCCCCC